UACGUAGGGUGCAAGCGUUGUCCGGAAUUAUUGGGCGUAAAGAGCUCGUAGGUGGCCUGUCGCGUCGGCUGUGAAAACUCGGGGCUCAACUCCGAGCUUGCAGUCGAUACGGGCAGGCUAGAGUUCGGCAGGGGAGACUGGAAUUCCUGGUGUAGCGGUGAAAUGCGCAGAUAUCAGGAGGAACACCGGUGGCGAAGGCGGGUCUCUGGCCCGAUACUGACGCUGAGGCACGAAAGCGUGGGGAGCAAACAGG
rnacentral:rRNA from 1 species